UACCUGGUUGAUUCUGCCAGUAGUCAUAUGCUUGUCUCAAAGAUUAAGCCAUGCAUGUCUAAGUAUAAGCAAUUAUACCGCGAAACUGCGAAUGGCUCAUUAUAUAAGUUAUCGUUUAUUUGAUAGCACAUUACUACAUGGAUAACUGUGGUAAUUCUAGAGCUAAUACAUGCUAAAAAUCCCGACUUCGGAAGGGAUGUAUUUAUUAGAUUAAAAGCCAACGCCCUUCGGGGCUUCCUGGUGAUUCAUAAUAACUUUUCGAAUCGCAUGGCCUUGCGCCGGCGAUGGUUCAUUCAAAUUUCUUCCCUAUCAACUUUCGAUGCGAAGGUAUUGUCUUCGCAUGGUUGCAACGGGUAACGGAGGGUUAGGGCUCGACCCCGGAGAAGGAGCCUGAGAAACGGCUACUACAUCCAAGGA
rnacentral:rRNA from 1 species